rnacentral:misc_RNA from 1 species
AAUGUUGGAAGAGAUGAAACUUUCGAUGAUGUGCUGGAAGACUGGAGAACAAAGCCAACAGUUGAACGGGUUUGGUUUGAAGUGAUGGCAAGAAUUGAAGCUGAGAAGUUGAGGGUCCUAAUGGUUAAAAAGGUCAGACCUUUUGUUGCACUAGAUUCAGUUUCNGAAAAAUCCUGAUACCAAAAUUGAAACUGAAGGACAAAAAAGGCCAACCUUGAAAAUUUUC